rnacentral:rRNA from 1 species
AGCGAACGCUGGCGGUAGGCCUAACACAUGCAAGUCGAACGGCAGCACAGUAAGCUCUCGCUCUUACGGGUGGCGAGUGGCGGGUGGGUGAGGAAUAGAUCGGCAUCUACUUUUCCGGGGGGGAUAACGUAGGGAAACUUACACUAAUACCGCAUACUACCUACGGGUGAAAGCAGGUGAUAUUCGGGCCUUUGGCGAAUGAAUGAGCCGAUGUGGGAUUAGCUAGUUGGCGGGUGAAAGGCCCACCAAGGCGACGAUCCGUAGCUGGCCUGAGAGGAUGGUCAGCCACACUGGAACUGAGACACGGUCCAACCUCCUACGGGAGGCGGCAGUGGGGAACAUUGGACAAGGGGCGCAAGCCUGAUCCAGCCAUACCGCGUGGGUGAAGAAGGCCUUCGGGUUGUAAAGCCCUUUUGUUGGGAAAGAAAAGCAGCAGGUUAAUACCCCGCUGUUCUGACGGUACCCAAAGAAUAAGCACCGGCUAACUUCGUG